rnacentral:rRNA from 1 species
UGGGGAAUUUUGCGCAAUGGGCGAAAGCCUGACGCAGCGACGUCGCGUGGGUGAUGAAGGCCUUCGGGUUGUAAAGCCCUGUGGGGAGGGAAGAAUAAGGAACGGCGAAUACACGUCCCGAUGACGGUACCUCCUUAGCAAGCACCGGCUAACUCUGUGCCAGCAGCCGCGGUAAGACAGAGGGUGCGAACGUUGUUCGGAAUUACUGGGCGUAAAGCGCGUGUAGGCGGUUAUGCAAGUCGGGUGUGAAAGCCCUCGGCUCAACUGGGGAAGUGCACUCGAAACUGCAUAACUUGAGUCCCGGAGAGGAUGGUGGAAUUCUCGGGGUAGAGGUGAAAUUCGUAGAUAUCGAGAGGAACACCGGUGGCGAAGGCGGCGAUCUGGACGGUGACUGACGCUGAGACGCGAAAGCAGGGGGAGCAAACA